CCAAAGAGCAGCAGGAUGGAUCCAGCAUCCUCUCCUGAUAAAAGAGGGCUAGAAGACGGGAGGCUCCGGGAAGUCUACUGGAGUCAUGAAGACACUGAAAAGUGAUGAAUCCACAUAACCAUGACACUGGAAAUGAAGUUUGAGUGGCAGUCAGAAUCUGGGAGGAAGCAUUGCUAAGUGAAAAUCUUAUGGAGCUUGACUAAAAAUCCCUGUCAGGAACCGUCAAAAGCUGUGUCCCUGACAUGAAAAAUCUUGCUGGAAGUUGAGAGAGGUUUAUGCCUACUCCGUGAUCCGGGAACACAAGACCUUUACCAACCAAAAAAGUGGAUAGCUGUUCUUCUGCUGUGAAGGUUAAUAAAGGCUAAAAGUUCAAGAAUAAGGCACCAGCAAGUUCAGUGUCUAGAAAGGACCCAGCGUUUGCUUCGAAGAUGGCGCCUUUCUGCUGCAUUCUCUGAAGAGGAUGGAUGCUGUGUCCUCACAUUGCAGAAGUCAGAAGGGGAAAAAGGGCCUAAGCUAGUUCCCUGUAGCCUUUUUGCAAGAACGCCAGAAGUGCCAAGCAAUUAACAACCCCAGAAGCAACCCUUAACCAAUGAUUAAAUAAAGUGGAUGAUUACAUACCCAAGCUCCUUCAACUCCCAGGGACAUAAUUCUGAGGGAUGGAAAACAAACUGAAACUGGCUCAAGUGAAUGCUCACUGGAAGGCUUACUGGAAAACUUACUGGAAGGAUGUGAGGACAUGUUCGGGAAUCUAUUUGCAGAAAACAUAUUCAGCCCUGUCCACCACAGCCAGCUGGCUGAAGAGCUCAAAAGGCAAGAAAUCAGCAAGAGAGAGAGAUGAAGCAUGAGAAAUGAGCAAAAAACACCCAGCACAUCAUAAUCUUGGACAGUUUAGCAGUACAUGAAAAUAGAUGGUCCUCGCCCCAAGGGACUGCAGUAACCCUGAAUAAACAGGAUGUCUCUCACUUUUAGCAGUUCUUUCUGUGCUAGUAUUGGGGAAAUAUAUUUUUGGCUGCAUGCAAAAUGGUAAAAGACAUCUAUUAAGAAAAUGAAAACAAUGCUUCUGUUUUAGACGAAGCUUUUGAAGGUUUAAGGAUCACCUAUUUAUUGACAAAAUUGUUUCCGUGGCUUAAAAAUAAAAUACAAACAAAUACUA
rnacentral:lncRNA from 1 species